GCACUGCUGAGGAGUCCCACAAUAGGACGAAAAGGCUGUCCAGUGC
rfam:Schistosoma margrebowiei strain Zambia genome assembly, scaffold: SMRZ_scaffold0001705